rnacentral:tRNA from 1 species
UGAUAAGGAAGAUCUUACCUCUUGUGAGUAAAUUUACAAUUUACCGCCUACUCAGCCACCUUACC